rnacentral:rRNA from 1 species
UCCAGGCCCUACGGGGCGCAGCAGUCGCGAAAACUUCACAAUGGGGGAAACCCCGAUGAGGGAAUUCCAAGUGCCAGCACAUUGUGUUGGCUGUUCUCUGGUCUAAAAAACCGGAGAAGUAAGGGCCGGGUAAGACGGGCGCCAGCCGCCGCGGUAAUACCCGCGGCCCAAGUGGUGGUCGAUAUUAUUGAGCCUAAAACGUCCGUAGCCGGUUUUGUAAAUCCUUGGGUAAAUCGACCAGCUUAACUGUUCGAAGUCCGGGGAGACUGCAAGACUUGGGAUCGGGAGAGGUGAGAGGUACUUCUGGGGUAGGGGUAAAAUCCUGUAAUCCUAGAAGGACCACCGGUGGCGAAGGCGUCUCACUAGAACGAAUCCGACGGUGAGGGACGAAGCCCUGGGGCGCAAACGGGAUUAGAUACCCCGGUAGUCCAGGGUGUAAACGCUGCGGGCUUGGUGUUGGGGGUCCUUUGAGGGCGCCCAGUGCCGGAGAGAAGUUGUUAAGCCUGCUGCUUGGGGAGUACGUCCGCAAGGAUGAAACUUAAAGGAAUUGGCGGGGGAGCACCGCAACGGGAGGAGCGUGCGGUUCAAUUGGAUUCAACGCCGGG